UACAGAGGGGGCAAGCGUUGUUCGGAAUUACUGGGCGUAAAGGGCUCGUAGGUGGCCAACUAAGUCAGACGUGAAAUCCCUCAGCUUAACUGGGGAACUGCGUCUGAUACUGGAUGGCUUGAGUUUGGGAGAGGGAUGCGGAAUUCCAGGUGUAGCGGUGAAAUGCGUAGAUAUCUGGAGGAACACCGGUGGCGAAGGCGGCCUUCUGGACGGAUACUGACGCUGAGACGCGAAAGCGUGGGGAGCAAACAGG
rnacentral:rRNA from 1 species